AGGACGAACGCUGGCGGCGUGCUUAACACAUGCAAGUGGAGCGACGAACCGGGCUUCGGCCCGGGCAGAGCCGCGAACGGGUGAGUAACACGUGGGUAACCUACCCCAAUGACCGGGACAACCCGAGGAAACUCGGGCUAAUACCGGAUGUGUUCACGGUCUUCAAGGAUUGUGAGCAAAGGUAGCUUCGGCCUCCGCAUUGGGAUGGGCCCGCGGCCCAUUAGCUUGUUGGUGGGUAACGCCUACCAAGGCUGCGAUGGGUAGCUGGUCUGAGAGGACGAUCAGCCACACUGGGACUGAGACACGGCCCAGACUCCUACGGGAGCAGCAGUGGGAAUCUUGCGCAAUGCACGAAAGUGUGACGCAGCAACGCCGCGUGAGGAAGACGGCCUUCGGGUCGUAAACCCUUUCAGUUGGACGAAGGUCGGCGGUGAAGUAGCCGUCCGACUGACGUACCUCACAAGAACGCCCGACUAACGUACGUGACCAGCACGCCGC
rnacentral:rRNA from 1 species